GGCUCUAUGGGGGACAGAGGAAGAGAAGGCUCAUCUGCCUAAACAGGUCUGAAGAGCCUUCGGGACAUGACUCUUGAGCUGAGUCUUAUAGGUUGCAAAAGAUGCCAGGCAGAUGACAGACAAGUGUCACACAGAUGGUAAGGAUGAAAGAUGGCAACUUGAACGUGGGAGAGAAGGUAUGCAGGAUGAUUUUGGACCAUGAGGCCCUGUAAGCAGGAGGGAGCAUCCCUGUGUCUGAGUAGGGGAAUAUAGACUUGAGUUCCCAUGAAACAUCAUGUGGGUGUUAGAUGCCCAUAUGUGUUCAGGGAGUGCUUCUGGAGAUGAGGGAGGGGGAAUAUGGCAGGAUUUAUGCCCAGAGAUGGAGAAUGGCAGAGACCAAUCUGUCUACUUGAUCAUUUUGUUGAAGGCAUGAUAGCACCAGGUUUCUCUUUCAAGUUAGCCCCUCUUCACUUAACCUUUUGCCACCCAUAUGCUGCUUUCCUAUCCACAUGACUUCAGUAAUGAGAGGGUUAACCAUUAGAUUUUUUUUUUUUGAGGUUGGACACGUAAACUCCAUCUUUUAAUUUUUUUAAUUUAUAAUUUGGGCAUUUAAAAAGCUAUUGAAUAUGGCUUAAAUGAGUUCUUUGUGUAAUGGGAAAUGUUUUAAGCUCCAUGCUUACCAAAACUUGUGUAACAUUGAUCAGUCCCAGGAAAUGGAGCUUGCUCUGCCACCUGCAGAACAAUCCAUCUUGAUGGGACCUUAGCUAAAUGAAUAAACUUGACAGAAAAUAAUUUAGUAAUUUAGUCGAUCUAACUUCUCCCUGUACAAGAUUGCUUUCAGAGUUUUCAGGGAAAUUUUCAAGCAGAAAAUGGUUACUGGGAUAAAACCAAUGAAAUUGAAUUUGUCUUUCAUGAGAAAUUUGGCAAAUUUGGUUAUCAAAUUCUAUAGGCUGGGUAGUGUGGACAUGUUGAAUACUCCUGACUUCUGCUUCUGAAGAAUUGAUUUCAAGUAUCUUCUCUUCAAACAGAUGAUGGACUCUUACAUAAGAAGUGGUGGCCAACUGUUUCCU
rnacentral:lncRNA from 1 species